UACGUAGGGUGCAAGCGUUAAUCGGAAUUACUGGGCGUAAAGCGUACGCAGGCGGCUUUGCAAGACAGGUGUGAAAUCCCCGGGCCUAACCUGGGAACUGCAUUUGUGACUGCAUAGCUAGAGUUUGUCAGAGGGGGGUGGAAUUCCACGUGUAGCAGUGAAAUGCGUAGAUAUGUGGAGGAACACCGAUGGCGAAGGCAGCCCCCUGGGUCAAGAUUGACGCUCAUGCACGAAAGCGUGGGGAGCAAACAGG
rnacentral:rRNA from 1 species